GACGAACGCUGGCGGCGUGCCUAACACAUGCAAGUCGAGCGGGGUGAGUUCUUCGGAACGAUCCUAGCGGCGGACGGGUGAGUAACACGUGGGUAACCUGCCUCAAAGUGGGGGAUAGCCUUCCGAAAGGAAGAUUAAUACCGCAUAACCCAUAGCUUCCGCAUGGAAGCUAUGGUAAAGAUUUAUCGCUUUGAGAUGGACCCGCGGCGCAUUAGCUAGUUGGUGAGGUAACGGCUCACCAAGGCCACGAUGCGUAGCCGACCUGAGAGGGUGAUCGGCCACAUUGGAACUGAGACACGGUCCAGACUCCUACGGGAGGCAGCAGUGGGGAAUAUUGCACAAUGGGCGAAAGCCUGAUGCAGCAACGCCGCGUGAGUGAUGAAGGUCUUCGGAUUGUAAAGCUCUGUCUCUGGGGACGAUAAUGACGGUACCCAAGGAGGAAGCCACGGCUAACUACGUGCCAGCAGCCGCGGUAAUACGUAGGUGGCAAGCGUUGUCCGGAUUUACUGGGCGUAAAGGGUGCGUAGGUGGAUAUUUAAGUCAGAUGUGAAACCCCUGGGCUCAACUCAGGAACUGCAUUUGAAACUGGAUGUCUAGAGUGCGGGAGAGGUAAGUGGAAUUCCUAGUGUAGCGGUGAAAUGCGUAGAGAUUAGGAAGAACACCAGUGGCGAAGGCGACUUACUGGACCGUAACUGACACUGAGGCACGAAAGCGUGGGUAGCAAACAGGAUUAGAUACCCUGGUAGUCCACGCCGUAAACGAUGAGUACUAGGUGUAGGGGGUAUCGACUCCCCCUGUGCCGCAGUUAACACAAUAAGUACUCCGCCUGGGAAGUACGAUCGCAAGAUUA
rnacentral:rRNA from 1 species